rnacentral:rRNA from 1 species
GUUAGGAAUAUUGGGCAAUGGAGGAAACUCUGACCCAGCAACGCCGCGUGAAGGAAGAAGGUUUUCGGAUUGUAAACUUCUGAUCUAAGGGACGAAGAAAGUGACGGUACCUUAGGAGAAAGCCACGGCUAACUACGUGCCAGCAGCCGCGGUAAUACGUAGGUGGCGAGCGUUGUCCGGAAUAACUGGGCGUAAAGGGAGCGUAGGUGGUUGAUUAAGUUAAAUGUGAAAGCCCAGGGCUCAACUCUGGAACUGCAUUUAAUACUGGUCGGCUAGAGUACAGGAGGGGUAAACGGAAUUUCUAGUGUAGCGGUGAAAUGCGUAGAUAUUAGGAAGAACACCGGAGGCGAAGGCGGUUUACUGGACUGCAACUGACACUGAGGCUCGAAAGCGUGGGGAGCAAACAGGA